rnacentral:misc_RNA from 1 species
UUUCCGUAGGUGAACCUGCGGAAGGAUCAUCAUAGAAAAAGAAAUUUUUCUAAGACUUUACACACCCACUAUGUGCAUUUUCGGGGCGAGUUUGAUGAAAGGGAUUUUUCCCCUUCCUCUUUUCGCCCCGUCUUUUUACAACAACCCCCUUUUUAUCUUUACACUACUAUACCCCAUAUUUAAUAACCAAAAGACAGCUUUUAACAACGGAUCUCUUGGCUCUC